rnacentral:rRNA from 1 species
AGUGAACGCUGGCGGUAGGCCUAACACAUGCAAGUCGAACGGCAGCACAGUAAGAGCUUGCUCUUACGGGUGGCGAGUGGCGGACGGGUGAGGAAUAAAUCGGAAUCUACUUUUUCGUGGGGGAUAACGUAGGGAAACUUACGCUAAUACCGCAUACGACCUACGGGUGAAAGCAGGGGAUCUUCGGACCUUGCGCGAUUGAAUGCGCCGAUGUCGGAUUAGCUAGUUGGCGGGGUAAAGGCCCACCAAGGCGACGAUCCGUAGCUGGUCUGAGAGGAUGAUCAGCCACACUGGAACUGAGACACGGUCCAGACGCCGACGGGAGGCAGCAGUGGGGAAUAUUGGACAAUGGGCGCAAGCCUGAUCCAGCCAUACCGCGUGGGUGAAGAAGGCCUACGGGUUGUAAAGCCAUUUUGUUGGGAGAGAAAAGCAGCAGGUUAAGACCCCGCUGUUCUGACGGUACCCAAAGAAUAAGCACCGGCUAACUUCGU